UGAAAAGCGGUCACGCCGAUGGUAGUGUAGCAUUCGCUAUGUGAGAGUAGGUCAUUGCCAGGC
rnacentral:rRNA from 1 species